CUGCGGAAGGAUCAUUACCGAGUGAGGGCCCUCUGGGUCCAACCUCCCACCCGUGUCUAUCGUACCUUGUUGCUUCGGCGGGCCCGCCGUUUCGACGGCCGCCGGGGAGGCCUUGCGCCCCCGGGCCCGCGCCCGCCGAAGACCCCAACAUGAACGCUGUUCUGAAAGUAUGCAGUCUGAGUUGAUUAUCGUAAUCAGUUAAAACUUUCAACAACGGAUCUCUUGGUUCCGGCAUCGAUGAAGAACGCAGCGAAAUGCGAUAAGUAAUGUGAAUUGCAGAAUUCAGUGAAUCAUCGAGUCUUUGAACGCACAUUGCGCCCCCUGGUAUUCCGGGGGGCAUGCCUGUCCGAGCGUCAUUGCUGCCCUCAAGCACGGCUUGUGUGUUGGGCCCCCGUCCCCCUCUCCCGGGGGACGGGCCCGAAAGGCAGCGGCGGCACCGCGUCCGGUCCUCGAGCGUAUGGGGCUUUGUCACCUGCUCUGUAGGCCCGGCCGGCGCCAGCCGACACCCAACUUUAUUUUUCUAAGGUUGACCUCGGAUCAGGUAGGGAUACCCGCUGAACUUAAGCAUAUCAAUAGGCCAGGAGAGGAA
rnacentral:rRNA from 1 species